AGUAUUGCUGCAUUAGUCAGUCAGGAAAUUCAGUUUUUAACACCAAAAUCAUAUAUUACCACGAGUUAAAACCCUAUUGAUAUUCGAUUACUUUAUUUUAAGUUGUAUUCAAGUGAGGCUAAGGCCCAUCAUUCUAUUUUCGACUGCUAACACCAAUCUCUGACAACAAUUGUUACAUUUUCAGGAAUAAAUAUUGCAAAUACUGGCCAAGCAACCUGUGACAUGACAGCAAUUGUCCCCAAGAUUUGUAUAACAGCAAAUGCACACCAGCCUAAUUUCCCAGUUGGUGUUGAAUCAAAGAAGGACAUUGGCGCAUGAAUGACACUAUGGAGCAUCUUUUGGAAGAAAUGUUGGGAUGUGAGAAGACCAGUUUUCACGACUAGCAUUGCUCGGAUUAACACACAUAAUGCACAUCCAAGUGAAAGAACUACAUAUACCGUGAAGAGAAUCUCGAGUGGCACAGGAGAUUCUGUUGUAUUGGAUGGAGGAGCAGCCCAUGCCAUCCAAUAGUUGCUUGCUACUUGCAAUACUUGGAAGCAUGUUUGUGAAAGGAUUAUUAUUGGAACCAAGGCGCCUCCUCGUACAGUAGUCAGCAAUUGAUGUGGAUGAUUUGCUUGAGGUUUCAGCAUUGGAUACUAGUUGAAGGGCUUCGCUGUGAGCUCCAACUAAUGCCUCAAAUUCUAUGUUCUGUCGCAGAAGUUCAUCAUACUUUCCAACUUGGGAAAUUCUUCCA